ACGGCGGGUUAUAUAAUACAUGCAAGUCGAGCGGAGUUUUGAAAAGCUUGCUUUUCAAAUCUUAGCGGCGGACGGGUGAGUAACACGUGGGCAACCUGCCCUUGAGACGGGGAUAACUCCGGGAAACCGGAGCUAAUACCGGAUAACACAUAUCUUCGCAUGAGGAUAUGUUAGAAGGUGGCUUUUAGCUACCACUCAAGGAUGGGCCCGCGGCGCAUUAGCUAGUUGGUGAGGUAACGGCUCACCAAGGCGACGAUGCGUAGCCGACCUGAGAGGGUGAUCGGCCACACUGGGACUGAGACACGGCCCAGACUCCUACGGGAGGCAGCAGUAGGGAAUCUUCCGCAAUGGACGAAAGUCUGACGGAGCAACGCCGCGUGAGUGAUGAAGGUUUUCGGAUCGUAAAGCUCUGUUGUUAGGGAAGAACAAGUACCUGUUAAAUAAGCAGGUACCUUGACGGUACCUAACCAGAAAGCCACGGCUAACUACGUGCCAGCAGCCGCGGUAAUACGUAGGUGGCAAGCGUUGUCCGGAAUUAUUGGGCGUAAAGCGCGCGCAGGCGGUUCCUUAAGUCUGAUGUGAAAGCCCACGGCUCAACCGUGGAGGGUCAUUGGAAACUGGGGAACUUGAGUGCAGAAGAGGAGAGCGGAAUUCCACGUGUAGCGGUGAAAUGCGUAGAGAUGUGGAGGAACACCAGUGGCGAAGGCGGCUCUCUGGUCUGUAACUGACGCUGAGGCGCGAAAGCGUGGGGAGCGAACAGGAUUAGAUAC
rnacentral:rRNA from 2 species